CCGUUUGGUUUGAGCCACGUUUUGUGGGCUGUUAAUUUCUCAGAGCUCUCCUUGGGAAAGAAGGGGGCGAUCAACAUGGCAAACCUCUGCUCGCGCAAGCUGCUGCUCUGCACGGGCAUACU
rnacentral:ribozyme from 1 species